CGACACACUCUGCAAUGGCCUCCGGUCGGUGUUGAUGCAAUGUGAUCUCUGCCCAGUGCUCUGAAUGUCAACGUGAGGAGAUUCAUCAAAGCGCGAAUAAACGGCGGGAGUAACUAUGACUCUCUUGGUGCCCCUUGUUUACGUACCGCCAUACCAGGUAUGGCACUGCAUAGAUUGUUG
rfam:Ixodes scapularis strain Wikel colony gcontig_1108378677468, whole genome shotgun sequence.